AAUCCAUAGGUUAAUGAGGCGAACCGGGGGAACUGAAACAUCUAAGUACCCCGAGGAAAAGAAAUCAACCGAGAUUCCCCCAGUAGCGGCGAGCGAACGGGGAGGAGCCCAGAGCCUGAAUCAGCAUGUGUGUUAGUGGAAGCGUCUGGAAAGGCGCGCGAUACAGGGUGACAGCCCCGUACACAAAAGCGCAUGUGCUGUGAGCUCGAUGAGUAGGGCGGGACACGUGGUAUCCUGUCUGAAUAUGGGGGGACCAUCCUCCAAGGCUAAAUACUCCUGACUGACCGAUAGUGAACCAGUACCGUGAGGGAAAGGCGAAAAGAACCCCGGCGAGGGGAGUGAAAAAGAACCUGAAACCGUGUACGUACAAGCAGUGGGAGCACCCUUUGGGUGUGACUGCGUACCUUUUGUAUAAUGGGUCAGCGACUUAUAUUCUGUAGCAAGGUUAACCGAAUAGGGGAGCCGGAGGGAAACCGAGUCUUAACCGGGCGUUAAGUUGCAGGGUAUAGACCCGAAACCCGGUGAUCUAGCCAUGGGCAGGUUGAAGGUUGGGUAACACUAACUGGAGGACCGAACCGACUAAUGUUGAAAAAUUAGCGGAUGACCUGUGGCUGGGGGUGAAAGGCCAAUCAAACCGGGAGAUAGCUGGUUCUCCCCGAAAGCUAUUUAGGUAGCGCCUCGUGAAUUCAUCUCCGGGGGUAGAGCACUGUUUCGGCUAGGGGGCCAUCCCGGCUUACCAACCCGAUGCAAACUGCGAAUACCGGAGAAUGUUAUCACGGGAGACACACGGCGGGUGCUAACGUCCGUCGUGAAGAGGGAAACAACCCAGACCGCCAGCUAAGGUCCCAAAGUCAUGGUUAAGUGGGAAACGAUGUGGGAAGGCCCAGACAGCCAGGAUGUUGGCUUAGAAGCAGCCAUCAUUUAAAGAAAGCGUAAUAGCUCACUGGUCGAGUCGGCCUGCGCGGAAGAUGUAACGGGGCUAAACCAUGCACCGAAGCUGCGGCAGCGACACUGUGUGUUGUUGGGUAGGGGAGC
rnacentral:rRNA from 2 species